GGAUUAGAUACCCUGGUAGUCCACGCCGUAAACGAUGAGCACUAGUUAUUGGAGGUAUUGACUCCUCCAGUGACGCAGCUAACGCAUUAAGUGCUCCGCCUGGGGAGUACGGUCGCAAGACUAAAACUCAAACAAAUUGACGGGGGCCCGCACAAGCGGUGGAUUAUGUGGUUUAAUUCGAAGCAACGCGCAGAACCUUACCUAGGCUUGAACUCCUACGAAUCCGGGGUAAUGCCUGGAGUGUCCGCAAGGAAAUGUAGUGAGAGGUGCUGCAUGGCUGUCGUCAGCUCGUGCCG
rnacentral:rRNA from 1 species